CCUGGCGGCACUAGCGCGGUGGUCCCACCUGACCCCAUGCCGAACUCAGAAGUGAAACGCCGUAGCGCCGAUGGUAGUGUGGGGUCUCCCCAUGUGAGAGUAGGGAACUGCCG
rnacentral:rRNA from 1 species